rnacentral:rRNA from 1 species
UGCAAGUCGAACGAACGGAGGAAGAGCUUGCUCUUCCAAAGUUAGUGGCGGACGGGUGAGUAACACGUGGGCAACCUGCCUGUAAGUUGGGGAUAACUCCGGGAAACCGGGGCUAAUACCGAAUGAUAGAAUGUGGCGCAUGCCACGCUUUUGAAAGAUGGUUUCGGCUAUCGCUUACAGAUGGGCCCGCGGUGCAUUAGCUAGUUGGUAGGGUAAUGGCCUACCAAGGCAACGAUGCAUAGCCGACCUGAGAGGGUGAUCGGCCACACUGGGACUGAGACACGGCCCAGACUCCUACGGGAGGCAGCAGUAGGGAAUCUUCCGCAAUGGACGAAAGUCUGACGGAGCAACGCCGCGUGUAUGAAGAAGGUUUUCGGAUCGUAAAGUACUGUUGUUAGAGAAGAACAAGGAUAAGAGUAACUGCUUGUCCCUUGACGGUAUCUAACCAGAAAGCCACGGCUAACUACGUGCCAGCAGCCGCGGUA